UUCUUUGUAAUUUCUUGGUUUAUUUACUGUUUGUUUGUUUGUUUGUUUUUACAUUGUUAAUCUGUAGUGUUGAAUAGGAAUGAAAAUAAACCCAUGGUCCUAUAUUAUUAUUUAUUACAACUUUGUGAGGCAGUUUGGAUACCUACUAGAGCAUCUUUUUGAAUCCUGAUGUCUUUUGAGACAGACAUUAAAGAUAAGUUUUAAAAUGGAACAUAAUUCGAUUCUGCUUAUUAAAAAAAUAUUUUUAUUGACUCUUUGAAUUUCAUGUUAAGCAUCACAAUCCUACUCCACUCCCUGUCUCUCCAUAUCUGCCCUCUGCCUUUGCAACUCCCCCCUCCAAAAG
rnacentral:lncRNA from 1 species